CCAAACUGUUGCCUCGGCGGGGUCACGCCCCGGGUGCGAAAAAGCCCCGGAACCAGGCGCCCGCCGGAGGAACCAACCAAACUCUUUCUGUAGUCCCCUCGCGGACGUAUUUCUUACAGCUCUGAGCAAAAAUUCAAAAUGAAUCAAAACUUUCAACAACGGAUCUCUUGGUUCUGGCAUCGAUGAAGAACGCAGCGAAAUGCGAUAAGUAAUGUGAAUUGCAGAAUUCAGUGAAUCAUCGAAUCUUUGAACGCACAUUGCGCCCGCCAGUAUUCUGGCGGGCAUGCCUGUCCGAGCGUCAUUUCAACCCUCGAACCCCUCCGGGGGAUCGGCGUUGGGGAUCGGGACCCCUCACCGGGUGCCGGCCCUGAAAUACAGUGGCGGUCUCGCCGCAGCCUCUCCUGCGCAGUAGUUUGCACAACUCGCACCGGGAGCGCGGCGCGUCCACGUCCGUAAAACACCCAACUUCUGAAAUGUUGACCUCGGAUCAGGUAGGAAUACCCGCUGAACUUAAGCAUAUCAAUAAGCGGAGGAA
rnacentral:rRNA from 1 species